GUGUCAGCAGCCGCGGUAAUACGUAGGGUGCGAGCGUUAAUCGGAAUUACUGGGCGUAAAGCGUGCGCAGGCGGUUUCGUAAGACAGAUGUGAAAUCCCCGGGCUUAACCUGGGAACUGCAUUUGUGACUGCGAGACUAGAGUGUAGCAGAGGGGGGUAGAAUUCCACGUGUAGCAGUGAAAUGCGUAGAGAUGUGGAGGAAUACCGAUGGCGAAGGCAGCCCCCUGGGCUAACACUGACGCUCAUGCACGAAAGCGUGGGGAGCAAACAGGAUUAGAAACCCCCGUAGUCC
rnacentral:rRNA from 1 species